UCCAGAUGAAGAGAUGCUUUGGCGGGCGAAACAGUUGUGGAAAACCUUCAUAGGCUCGGCGGAACCGGGAUUUCGAUUUUUCUUUGAGCAAUUACGAGUGGAUGGGUCAGAGUCUCAGGGACCAAGUUCGGAAGUAGAAUAUCCGCUUAAUGUUGCUGAAUGUGGCUUGUGAUACUUGUUGAACCCUGAACACAGCCCAUGUGAAAAAACUAAUUUGGUGGGAAGAGUCAUCCCAAAAUCCAGUGAAACUCGGGAUUUUUCUGGCGUAUGCUGAAAUAACUCGAGAUCAUUGCCAAUGGCUUGACGUAAAGGAAAAUACAGCCUUACUUGAUCCGGGACAGUGCACUUUGAAUCAUUUGUGCUUUAUUACAAUAUCAACUACAUCAUCAAAAGCUUAAGACUUCGUAACUAAGCUUUUUGACUCUAUCCGGUAUCUCAUCCUAAUGUUAGAUUAGAUGGUGUUCUUUCAUUUAGAUGCUUUGGAAUGGGACCGCCUUUAUGUGACAUUAUUGGACAAUGGAGAUAAAUAAAUGAUGCAGUUAAAGAUAUUAUGAUGAUUGAUAUGCCUUAACCUUUCAGUCAGCAAAUUUUGAGGCCUUCACUAAGUAAUGCAAGGACCUAAAUGUAAUCAUGCUCCAUCUCCUUCAUCCCUGGUGUGAUGGAACCGGUUGAUUUCCCUUCACUAGGCUGGCAUCGAGACCCGCUCUUCUCGUAGUGAUUUCACCAACUGGUGCUGAGAACAGGGCUGUGUUGAGGAAGGCUGACAAGAAAUUAUGUGAUAAUUUUUCCUGUUUGGGUGAAGUUUCGGAAAUUGGAUUGUUUAUUGUUGAUCAUAUAUUUGGAGAUAGAAUGAUAUAGAGUAAGAGUGUAUAUGAAGACUUACCUUUUCUCCUUACAUUAAUUCUUGUGGGCAACAAAUUUGUGACUACAGAAGUUCUGGAUUUGAAUUUUUGGGAAGGAAA